CGCUGGCGGCGUGCCUAACACAUGCAAGUCGAGCGAGGAGGAGGAAGCUUGCUUCCGAAUCCUAGCGGCGGACGGGUGAGUAACGCGUGAGCAAUCUGCCUUUUACAGGGGGAUAACGCAUCGAAAGAUGUGCUAAUACCGCGUAAGACCACAGUACCGCAUGGUACAGGGGUCAAAGGAGCAAUCCGCUGAUAGAUGGGCUUGCGUCUGAUUAGAUAGUUGGUGGGGUAACGGCCUACCAAGUCGACGAUCAGUAGCCGGACUGAGAGGUUGAACGGCCACAUUGGGACUGAGAUACGGCCCAGACUCCUACGGGAGGCAGCAGUGGGGAAUAUUGGGCAAUGGGGGAAACCCUGACCCAGCAACGCCGCGUGAAGGAAGAAGGCCUUCGGGUUGUAAACUUCUUUUACCAGGGACGAAGAACGUGACGGUACCUGGAGAAAAAGCAACGGCUAACUACGUG
rnacentral:rRNA from 1 species